AACCCUGGGCAAUGGGCAAAGAGACACCUUAUUGGUGGUGUUAUUUACAUCAGUCAGGGGCAAAGUGGACGGCAGUUGUUUGUUCAUCCUAGUUUGAUGUCUGGCUUAGUGGCAAAAGCUAUUUUAUGCCUAGGACACAUAA